GUCCCGGUAGUCCAACGGCAGAGACAGUCGCCUCAAAAGCGAUCCAGUGUGGGUUCGAAUCCCACCCGGGACA
rnacentral:tRNA from 1 species